rnacentral:rRNA from 1 species
GAUGAACGCUGGCGGCGUGCCUAAUACAUGCAAGUCGAGCGAACAGACGAGGAGCUUGCUCCUCUGACGUUAGCGGCGGACGGGUGAGUAACACGUGGAUAACCUACCUAUAAGACUGGGAUAACUUCGGGAAACCGGAGCUAAUACCAGAUAAUAUAUUGAACCGCAUGGUUCAAUAGUGAAAGACGGUUUUGCUGUCACUUAUAGAUGGAUCCGCGCCGCAUUAGCUAGUUGGUAAGGUAACGGCUUACCAAGGCGACGAUGCGUAGCCGACCUGAGGGGGUGAUCGGCCACACUGGAACUGAGACACGGUCCAGACUCCUACGGGAGGCAGCAGUAGGGAAUCUUCCGCAAUGGGCGAAAGCCUGACGGAGCAACGCCGCGUGAGUGAUGAAGGUCUUCGGAUCGUAAAACUCUGUUAUUAGGGAAGAACAAAUGUGUAAGUAACUAUGCACGUCUUGACGGUACCUAAUCAGAAAGCCACGGCUAACUACGUG